UAAGGAAUAUUGGACAAUGGACGGAAGUCUGAUCCAGCCAUGCCGCGUGAAGGAAGAAGGCGCUCAGCGUUGUAAACUUCUUUUGGAUGGGAACAAUAACUUCUACGUGUAGGAGCUUGAGGGUACCAUCAGAAUAAGCACCGGCUAACUCCGUGCCAGCAGCCGCGGUAAUACGGAGGGUGCAAGCGUUAUCCGGAAUCACUGGGUUUAAAGGGUGCGUAGGCGGUGGCGUAAGUCAGUUGUGAAAUUCCCCGGCUUAACCGGCGGGACUGCAAUUGAUACUGCGUCACUUGAAUCAGGAUGAGGUAGGCGGAAUGUGGCAUGUAGCGGUGAAAUGCUUAGAUAUGCCAUAGAACACCGAUUGCGAAGGCAGCUUACUGGACCUGUAUUGACGCUGAGGCACGAAAGUGUGGGGAGCAAACAGGAUUAGAUACCCUGGUAGUCCACACCCUAAACGAUGUUUACUUGCUGUUCCGCUCUGAGUGGAGUGGCGAAGCGAAAGCGAUAAGUAAACCACCUGG
rnacentral:rRNA from 1 species